AUGUUAUGGAGGAGUAUGACUUCCCCAGUGUUUAUUAACCUGUUACAAACCAACCAAAUGUCAACCUGCCCUACUAUUCCUGCCAGUCCCUGUACCUCCUCAACAAACCAACCAAAUGUCAACCUUCCCUACUAUUCCUGCCAGUCCCUGUACCUCCUCAACAAACCAACCAAAUGUCAACCUUCCCUACUAUUCCUGCCAGUCCCUGUACCUCCUCAACAAACCAACCAAAUGUCAACCUUCCCUACUAUUCCUGCCAGUCCCUGUACCUCCUCAACAAACCAACCAAAUGUCAACCUGCCCUACUAUUCCUGCCAGUCCCUGUACCUCCUCAACAAACCAACCAAAUGUCAACCUUCCCUACUAUUCCUGCCAGUCCCUGUACCUCCUCAACAAACCAACCAAAUGUCAACCUGCCCUACUAUUCCUGCCAGUCCCUGUACCUCCUCAACAAACCAACCAAAUGUCAACCUUCCCUACUAUUCCUGCCAGUCCCUGUACCUCCUCAACAAACCAACCAAAUGUCAACCUGCCCUACUAUUCCUGCCAGUCCCUGUACAUCCUCAACAAACCAACCAAAUGUCAACCUGCCCUACUAUUCCUGCCAGUCCCUGUACCUCCUCAACAAACCAACCAAAUGUCAACCUUCCCUACUAUUCCUGCCAGUCCCUGUACCUCCUCAACAAACCAACCAAAUGUCAACCUGCCCUACUAUUCCUGCCAGUCCCUGUACCUCCUCAACAAACCAACCAAAUGUCAACCUUCCCUACUAUUCCUGCCAGUCCCUGUACCUCCUCAACAAACCAACCAAAUGUCAACCUGCCCUACUAUUCCUGCCAGUCCCUGUACCUCCUCAACAAACCAACCAAAUGUCAACCUGCCCUACUAUUCCUGCCUGUCCCUGUACCUCCUCAACAAACCAACCAAAUGUCAACCUGCCCUACUAUUCCUGCCAGUCCCUGUACCUCCUCAACAAACCAACCAAAUGUCAACCUUCCCUACUAUUCCUGCCAGUCCCUGUACCUCCUCAACAAACCAACCAAAUGUCAACCUUCCCUACUAUUCCUGCCUGUCCCUGUACCUCCUCAACAAACCAACCAAAUGUCAACCUUCCCUACUAUCCCUGCCAGUCCCUGUACCUCCUCAACAAACCAACCAAAUGUCAACCUGCCCUACUAUUCCUGCCAGUCCCUGUACCUCCUCAACAAACCAACCAAAUGUCAACCUGCCCUACUAUUCCUGCCUGUCCCUGUACCUCCUCAACAAACCAACCAAAUGUCAACCUGCCCUACUAUUCCUGCCAGUCCCUGUACCUCCUCAACAAACCAACCAAAUGUCAACCUUCCCUACUAUUCCUGCCUGUCCCUGUACCUCCUCAACAAACCAACCAAAUGUCAACCUUCCCUACUAUUCCUGCCUGUCCCUGUACCUCCUCAACAAACCAACCAAAUGUCAACCUUCCCUACUAUUCCUGCCAGUCCCUGUACCUCCUCAACAAACCAACCAAAUGUCAACCUUCCCUACUAUUCCUGCCAGUCCCUGUACCUCCUCAACAAACCAACCAAAUGUCAACCUGCCCUACUAUUCCUGCCAGUCCCUGUACCUCCUCAACAAACCAACCAAAUGUCAACCUUCCCUACUAUUCCUGCCAGUCCCUGUACCUCCUCAACAAACCAUCCAAUCCCCUUUCUCUUGACAACGUAA
rnacentral:lncRNA from 1 species